rnacentral:lncRNA from 1 species
UGCACGACAGUCAAUCCCAGACUCCCAUCCAGGAAUGGGUGGAGGACGUUGCUUGCGUUCGCUCCACUAAAACUCGGGACAAAGAGCCCAGUGUUGCAAAGCCUGGGAGGGACGGCGCCUCGCACGAGGCUCAAGUGCCUCCCAGUGGCCAGAGAGCGCGCUGCAGUCUGGCAGUUUUUGGUAUCCCAGCGUCCCUGAACUAUUUACAGAUAACCUUUAUUCUUGGUUAUCCUGAGUGGUCCCUGACGGCCUCUUCUUACCCCAAACCCUUCCCAAAGUCUGUCUCCAAGAACUCACCCUGUGUCCUCCAUGAUGCAGCCCAGCCAGAUGUCUGGACACUUGCAGUCCCCUAAGAGAUUAAAGAACGCCGUGAGACGGGAUGGAGGAACACCGCCA